rnacentral:lncRNA from 1 species
CCCUGUUUCUGGCAGGAGCCGUCCUCACUCCCUCUAUUGCCUCUCCAGACCCAGACUUCACCCUCAGGUCACCCUCACCUGGACUUUGGGGUGCCCCACACCCCGCCCCAGGCCCUGGCCUCUGGAAUAUUUGGAAACUUGAACUGGGCCAGAGGCUUAAGCUCACAUCUGUCUGGAGCCUCAACUUUCUCCUCUGUAAAAUGGGCUAACACUGAAAGAACCUUGCAGAAUCUCAGCAACGUCACAGAGGACAUUGUUAGCACAGCCAGCGGGCUCCUGCUGGGCUGAGUUUGUGGGUAAUCCAAGCCUCGGCAGGUACAGUUCCUCCCUCAGGGCCCAGGACACAGUGAGCAUACAAUAGACAUUAGCUGCUGUGGUGUCUUGAUUUCAAGCCCAGUGCAGAUGCAUCUGACUUACGAAACUUCAGUGACACCUGCUCUGUGCCAGACACUGAAGAUGGAGCAGUGAACAGCACUGACCCAGCCUGUCCUCCUGUUGCCUGCAGGCCAGAAGCAAGGUCUCGCUGUGUUACCCUGGCUGGAGUGCAGUGGCUACUUACAGGCAUGAUCAUAGCAUACUGCAGCCUCGAACUCCUGGACUAGAGCAGUUCUCCUGCCUCAGCCUCCAGAGCAGCUGGGACUGCAGACACGCACCACAGAGCCCAGCCUGAGUCAUUUUGAUUCUGUAACUGGCUUCCUCUCGGCGGGCAGGCUCACACCCUCCACCCCCAGCUGGAGAUGGAAGGAGGAUGCUCACCGCCCAUUCCUCAUGCAGGCCAUCGAUGGAAAUGUCAGACAGUGCGAGUCCACGCCUGAACACUUCUGGGGUCCGCUCUGGGACUGACACUGGCAGAUCCAUCGUGGCACCCGAGCUCUGUGAGGGCAAGACUUUGUUCGGUUGUGGGCUAUGCCCCCAACCCCUCGGACAGUGCCUGCACAGGUGGACAUUUUUGUUGGAUGAAGGAUUUUCUGUUAAAUGUGUCUGGCACACACAGAAAAACAAAGCCCAGCAGAUGCCGUUCCAUUGUUUGCUGACUUUCAUUGAUUCUAUGAGAAGUCUGCAGUCUUUUGCAGCGUUGUUUUCCUAUGUAUAAUUGUCUCCUCCCACCCCACUCACCCCAGCUGCUUUCCACAUUCUCUCUCUUUGAUUUUCAGCAGUCUGCCCAUGAUGUGCCUAAAUAGGACUUUCUUUGCAUUCAUCUUGGCUGGGGCUCACUGAACUUUCUGAAUCUGUAGAUUAAUUUUCUUUUUUCAAUAAACCUUGGAAUAUUUUCAGCAUAA